rnacentral:lncRNA from 1 species
UAAAUAAUAAGGGGUUAGAGAUGAUGAUAUGCCUGGUGUUCAUGAUGUUUCCCACACUUUAUAAUCUCUUCCUUCAGCUGCUACAACCCAUUUUGUAGGACCAUCUGGUGGCUCAUAAUGUCCUGGCCCAAUUUUGACUGCUAACUUUCCAUCGAUCUCAGCCGCAUAGACGUCCCUCUCUGCCUUGACGAUCUUCACCUGGACCACAUCAUACAACCAAUCAUGUUAGGAUUAGCCAGCUUAUCAAAUGAAUUACUGAAAAAAAAUCAUUUUAUUAUGUUUCUGUUUUCUUUUUUUCAUUUUCUUUCCUUCUCAGAUAUUCAUCGAUAUUUAAUCGAUUUAUAUCAGAAUGGGGAAACAACGUUGUAGUUGUAGGUGCUUCGAUGCACCAACAAAUGCCCAUGAAGAAACCUUUAUAUGGGAUGCGACCAACAAUUAUCCUACCACAUCCGUGUGACUUAUCAGACAUCCGAAACAUGAGACUCGGCCAAAGAAAUAUGCAACAAAAUGUCAUCUGAAUGCAGAAAACUCA